GUCUAUGACGUCACCACGGGGCGGGCCCUGCGCCGGCUGACCAAUCACGGCGCCUGCGUGCGUGACGUCAGCUGGAGCCCCGAGGGGGCGUGGCUCGCCAGCGCAUCGUGGGACGGCACCGUGCGGCUCUGGACCUAUCGCGACGCAGAGGAGGAGGAGGGGGCGGAGCUUCGGACGGAGGGGGCGUGGCCUCAGCGGGAGAAGGGGCGUGGCUUGGAAUAAACCGCGAGGACGUGGCCCCGC